AAGUGAGCGAAGCACGCUUGAGCGUGUUAGGCUGGGUUUACUGGUUGGCGUGGGAGGAUUAAGGUCUUGGCCAUGGCCUUGAAUUCGCGGAGCCGCCGCGGAGCUUUGUAAAGGACAAAAUGGCGACGGCGGGCCGUGGCGGCGGCCCUCUCUGUGAUGAGAACCUCUUCACAGACCUGUACUGAGCUCCGUGAGGAUAAGACUCUCUGAGGAGACGGGCCUUGCACAGCCCGAGCCCCGCACAGCCGCAGCUCCGGAAGACAAAGCGAACGUGAAGUCACGGGUGUUGAUUUAAUGUCCCUUUGUCUGCAGGGUUCGGGCGCACCUUUGAACGCUGGAGAAUGGAGAAGAGCCGACUUGCGUGGGUAGGUGUUUGUGGUCAUCCUUUCCCGCUGUUUCUCUACUGUGCAGCUGACGCAGGCGCCCUGGGGUGUGCUACGGGGAUGAUACUUAAAUUGAACUCUCUCUUUCUGAUGGCUCAGUGGAGAAAACAUAAAAACUCUGAGUAGCACCACCCUGCAGCAGACGUGUGGGGUUUCGGCGCGGAAGUGUUAGGGCACGAACGUGAGAUGGGCUGCAAGGUACGGCACUAAGUGAGGGGUGCUCCUCGGUUUCUUUCAGAUGCGGUUCGGCUCUAAAGACCCUAGAGGUUUGAGGGUGAGGCAAGACCUAUCACAUGAUCCGUUCAAACUAGGCCUCACUGUGAUGCUCCAGCAUCUCAUCACUAGGCCUGAGGAACCCAACCGUCUGCCUGGGUGAAUACAGGUUGUCCUGAUGGUGAUACAUUCCAUCUGUUCUACGACUCCAUUCCCAACGUGAGGCUCA